UCAGCUCCAGGUUGCUGAGGGUGAGCAUAAUUUUACAUUGUUACAAAAGACAGACAAAAAACAUUGGCAGAGGAGGGGGAUUGCUAAUAUGCUUUUUUUUUUAAAAAAAAAAAAAAAAAAAAAAGAAGAAGAAGAAGAAGAAGAAAGAAAGAAAGAAAAAAGAAAAAAGAGUGUGUUCAGAAGGAAAUGCAGCAGACUAAGAAAAAGGACGAAGCUGCCUUUUCUCUCUACCCCAAGCUGGCCUCAUGCUCCGGUGUGUUUCCAUGGAGGCUGUUGCUGUCACUGCAUGGCUCAUGCUGGAGUGUCACAUUGGAUGGGAGCCAGCUCAACAAGAAAAAUAAAAGAACAAAGAACUUUGCUGAAUUAAAAACAACUGGAAACAAACCGCAGAACUUCCUGAAAAUAUUUGCUAUACCCAACAUCUGACAAGAAAAGCGUAGAAGAUUGUUAAGAUAAUAUGAGCAAAGAAGACAUCCCAGGUGUUUCAGCUGCCUACAAAGUACAGAAUCAAAGAGUUUGAAGCCAUACCUACCCAACUGAAUGUGCUCUGUUGCCAAGCUGUCUGCAGAACCCUUCUCAGUACCAUGAACAAAACCCAAGUGCUUAUGCAGCAUUUCUUUGCACUUUGAAACUGCCCUUCUGUGUCUCCCUGUGCAAGACUUCCUCUGCAGCUCGUGAAACCUGCACACAGGGAACAAAUCACAAAUGGGCACUUUUGCAGAGAAACAGUGGAGUGCAACAUGACCAGGAGCCACACAGAAAACAGCACAGAGUGAGCUACAAGGGAAGAUGGUCCCACGACAAGUUGCUGUCUUACCAGAUGAGAUGUAGUUACUUUGGUGUUGAUAUAAGAAUUUGAUACCCCUCUCUAUAAAGUACUGCUUAAGAGAUCCAUCAUUUUUUGUCGCCUCCUGAACAACGAAAUAACGCGUAAUUCAAUAUACUGAGCUCAGACAAUGGAAUCAAAUACAAAGCUUAAAAUGAUGUAAGAAGAUUUCUCAGAGUGAUCUUAAGUCCAUAAAUUCAGCUGACAUAGUUUUGAAAGGAAAAUCCAGAGCCACUCGUUCCAUCCCUAGACUUUCAACUGAUAUGCUCUCCACAGCCAGGAGUGCUUUUCUCAAUCUUUUUUCCUUACAGAAAUAUUAACCAAACACUGGAGAGUUGAAAGAACCAGAAUUUUCUUUCACAGAAUGCGUUCAUUGACGAUUUCUUUCUCCCUGUUAACUUUCGCCAGUGUCAGAUUACACUAAAUAAGAAACUGUCCCUCCUGUGAUUCUGGAGCUAUUCUCUUAAAUAAGAUCACAGCCCUUCAAUGGCUCCUGCUGAAAGACAGCAACUUUAAAAAAAGUGCAAUCCAAGGUUAUAUGAAGGGCACACAGCUUUCAGAUCAGGGGAGUAGAGCACUAACACUAUGCAGCCCCACUUUCCUAGAAUAUGCAUCUUGGCAACACUGCUAAUCUAAAUCUGGCAAAUUGAAUAUUUUGAUCUCUGUCCCCAGAGACAAACAUACUCUUAUUAUAUUAGAUUAUAAUUUUCGCUCUGAUGCUGAAGUAUUCUCCACUAUACCCUUCAUCAUAUAAGAGAGGCUAUAUUGUGUACACUAAGGUUGCCAUUCAGGCCCUGAGCCAGGUGUUCAGGCUUACUCAGGAGAGUGGGCUGAAGGAAACAACUUCCUAAUUGUCAGUCCGAGAAUGAGCAACUGGCUUGUACGAAGCACAGGAAAACACUGAUAUCUACACUACAAAGCUCUGAUCUUCAGACCUGAGGAAUACCACUGUUGAUGUUUGCAAUGAGCUGUGUGAAACAUGGCCAUGUAUCACUUGUACUUCUGUGUAUCAGCUAGACCACUUUGGUUAGUGGCCACCUAGAAGCUGACUAAAAUACCCCAGUGCUUGGCAGCACAGUGCCAUACAUACAGGCAUGCUUUAUAACUAGAUUGAAAGAAACGGAAGCUGAAGUCCUCACUCCAAAGAAUUUGCAAUCUAAGGCUUUAUCAUGGCUCUUAGAAAAAGGGGCAAGCACAAUUUAUUCACAUUAAGCCUAAAACCAACGUAUACAAGGAACGGAGGAACUACUUGGCAGAUGAUCACAGGCUGCAUGGCAAGGCAGCAACCUUAUCAGAAAGGCUGUAUCUGCUGAUGUGGUCAGUUCCUGGGCAAAAAACAUUCACAUGCCUUUAUUCAAAAGGGAAGGCUUGUGAAAGGAAUUAGCAACACAAUCCCUCAGCUGCAGGUAUUUGAAUUGAUUAUCUGUCAACCCAAAGGUUCCCCCAAGUUCAGUAAAUGAACACAAUCUGUCUUCUAAAAUAUAUCAUGUAAUUUGUUACUGCUUUUUUUUUUUUUUUUUUUUUUUCCUAGCCAUGCAUCACAAAUAAAAAAGCACUUAGUUUUCAGUUUGGGUAAUAAAGGUUGAGUUCUUUUUCUUUUAACUUUACUUGAUAUUUGAAUUAGAAAAUUAAAUAAAAGCUGAAAUGGAAUAAGCAGUAGGUAACUUAAGAAUAUAUGUAUUUUUAUAACUGGAGUUAAUUUAAAUGACAAAAUGGUUCAAACCUCAGCACCUUACUGAUUUAUUUCAGAUGCAUCUUUAUUUAUUUCAGGCUUCCAUUGUUAAAAUAUGCUAUUGAUUUUCUGUUUUCUUUUGUUCUGAGGUUCCAGUGUGCUCUCUGCUGGUGAUGCCAUUCCCCAUUUGGAAAAUGAUUGAUUCAUUAUUAUUAUUAAAACAAAACAGCAACAACAACAACAAAACAAUAAUCAGGAACCAAGACAAAGUUAAAUGUAAAAGUUGCUAAAGUGCUUUCAAGAAUAUUAUUUACUUGACUUUUGGCUGGAUUAGAAUCUAAAAUGAAAUGCAAAUGGCUACUGGGGAAAAAUGAAGAAAUCUGUAUCCAUACAGGACAGAUCUAGGAGAGAGGAGAGGCUGAGGGACAGGACAUGGAGAUUUUAAAGGACUUUGCUUUUGAUUAGAUUUAGAAAGCUCCAUUAAAGGAAAAAAAUCUACAGGAAGACUGAAAAUAACAAUUUGGGGUUGUAAGAGUGAAUAACAGCAAGCGUGUAGUACUGGUUUGCAACAUGGCAGACCUGGAAAGGGUAAUGGAAAAAACCCUCACAUACACAACUGUCGGGUCUGCAAUAAAAGCAAAUAACCAAAAAUGUUCCACCGGCUGAUUUCUUCUAUUUUUAGAACUUAAUAUGGCAAGACAUCUUAAAAAAAAAAAAAAAGAAAAAAAAAAAAAAGA